GCAGGCUGCAACUCGCCUGCACGAAGUCGGAAUUGCUAGUAAUCGUAGGUCAGCAUACUACGGUGAAUACGUUCCCGGGCCUUGUACACACCGCCCGUCAAACCAUGAGAGUUGGCAACACCCGAAGUCGGUAGUCUAACCGCAAGGAGGACGCCGCCGAAGGUGGGGUUGAUGAUUAGGGUUAAGUCGUAACAAGGUAUC
rnacentral:rRNA from 1 species